GCCUCAUUGUAGCAAACCUUGCCGUAGCGGUCGAUGUGUUGCACCUGGUAAGUGUAGCUGUGACCUUGGAUGGAUACUAAAUGAGAGCGGCGACUGUAUCGAAAGAGAUCUUGAUCCUAUAAUUUGCUAUCCCCCAUGUGGUAAUGGGAGCUGCCAUUUUCUAAACAGAUGCACUUGCUGGGAUGGUUACAUGUCUAAUAAUAACAAUAAUAACCCGCGAUGUGUACCGUCAUGCAGAAACUGCCAGGGAUUCUGCGUCGCUCCUGGCAGAUGUGAGUGUCCAGAGCUAUUUGAACGCAAAUAUUUAACAGCGGACAACCAAGACUGCGACUGCUCGGAAGAUUGUGAUACAAAAUGCUUUAAAACCGCAUGUGUCCUCACCACUACUACAUCAACAGCUAUACCUCAAACAAUAAAAGCAAUCGAUCCCCCUAAUAAACUCGACAAUACAGGCAUUUCGGAAAUAUACGUUGUUGUCGAGCGAAUAUCAAAACCAGAUAAUUCGAGUGUUGAACCUAUAACAAUAGUUAAAUAUUACAACAUGAGCCAGGACCCUUGGCUAAUUAUUUUCAUAAUCACAACAAUCAUAAUGGUGGCUUUGAUUAUAUUGGUAUUUUGGGAAUAUCUAAGAAAGUGAGUUUUAAAGAAACAUGUUUAAAGGAUGCUAUCUAAUCCAAGACACAUCAUUUUCUAAAGUCUACGUUUCGGCAGUAUCAUGGGAUGCAAGCUGCCCGAACCCUCCAUGUAUUACUUUUUUGUUAUAUAUUGUACCUUGUCAUAAAUGUUUGUGUGCCUCCCAGUGU